AAUUGAAAAGAGCAAAACUUUCGAAAGAAAGUGGCGCAAAGUCACCGGUCUACGGGAAUAAUUCUACGACAGCGGAACUGCCAAC
rfam:Colwellia psychrerythraea 34H, complete genome.